AGCGGCUAGUUCCUGGCCAGUAGAAGGACCCUGGUGAUGUCACAGAUCAUGUGACUGUUUGGUCACAUGGUACAGAGAAGUACAGGAAGUGAUCACAAGCCAUGCGGCUGCUCUGCUAAACAAGAUGUGUGAACAGACUUUUCUCUGCUUCAUAUCUCUGCUAAAGAGUAGGAGUGUCUGUGGUUGUAUAUGGAAGUGAUCACAACCCCAACCUAUGCGGCUGCUCUGCUAAACAGGGGAGCUGAUGUGGAGGAAGUAAACUUCAGCUACAGUGGCAGAUGAGAAUAAAAAAUUUAACCGUCUGUGACAUAAGGGGACGGUGCUUCCUGAUGACGUCACCUGGAGGCCACGCCUCUAAUGGCUAUAUAAUAAGCUGCAAAGACCGGGGAUAGCGUCGGAGGAAGAGGGGAGAAGACCGGAUGAAGAUUUUUAAUAAACUUUUCAAAACGUUUCCUGUCCUUAUUUACAUACACUGCCUUUUAUGGGGUGAAUGGGUAGGGGUACAAUGUACCCCAUACCCAUAGGGAGGGGGGUCCGGGAUCUGGGGUGAUGAGCCCCCUGCCCGCAGACACCCACAACCACCGGCCAGGGUUGUCGGGAAGAGGCCCUUGUCCUCAUCAACAUGGGGGCACGGUGCCUUGGGGUGGGGCCCCCCUGCCCCAAAGCACCCACACCCCCCAUGUUGAGGGGGUGUGGCCUGUUAUGGUCCAGGGGGGGUUGGGGCCGCUCGCUCGUCCCCUCCCUUUUCCUCACCUGCCGGGCUGCAUGCUCGGAUAAGAGUUUGGUACGCCGUUUUUUCGGCAUGGGGCUACCCUCAAAUUCCAUUCCAGACCCCAAGGGCCUGGUUUGGAACCUGGGGGGGACCCCCACGCCACUUUUUUUCCCAUUUUGGCGUGGAUCCUGAUCCGACUUGCAGUGCGCCUUCCAUUCAAAUCAAUAGGUUCCCAUAGCGAACCAUUGAUUUUGAAUGGAGGCAGAAAAAACGCUGCUAAAAGCGACGUGGCCAAACAUGCAAUAACGCAAAUGGAAAAAGCUACUAAAAGCAAGUUUUUACAGCUGCUUUUUCCUGGCUUUAGAAGUGGCUCUGCAGCUCAUUUUUUCUGAUGCCCUGUGUGCAUGAGGCCUUACAGGUGGAGGCUAUUGACAUUUGUUUCCCUACUCAUCUUUUCUGACUGUUUGUCACUAGUUUUGCAUUUGGCUGGGGUCAGUGUCACUACUGGUAGCAUGAGGCCAUACCUGGACUCUAUAGAGGUUGCACAGGCAGUCCAACUCCUCCAGGAUGGCACAUCAACACGUCCCAUUGACUUGACAGAAGGUUUGCAGUGUCUCUCAGCACAGUCUCGAGAGCAAGGAAGAGAUUCUAGGAGAGCUGGACAGGGCUGCAGAAAGUCCUUUUGUUCUAGACCUCUACAGGCUAGACAAUGGCACCCUGACUGACAUUGGGUAACGGGAUGAAAUCCUUGGACCCAUUGUCAGACCCUACGCUGGUGCAGUGGGUCCUGCGUUCCUCCUGAUGCAUGACAAUGCCUGGCCACAUGUGGCGAGAGUAUGCGGCCAGUUCCUGGAGGAUGAAGGAAUUGAUACCAUUGAAUGGCCCCCCACACUUGCUUGUCCUAAAUCCAAUAGAACACCUCUAGGACAUUCUUAAAUCCUAGAUGGGGGUUUACCAGUUAAUAAGCUUUGUUUUCCUGUUUAUGGGAGGUGGAUCUACCAAAACUGUGGACCCUCUCUCUAGUACUUUUGUAGGCGAUUCUGCCGUAUUUCAAUUCUUGGGUAGUUUUUCUUGGUGUCAAGAAUGCGGGCGCAUGUCCAUUGGGACAUUUGCGCCACCUUUGCCCUUACAUGCAAUCUCCUUGUCUGGGAGGCAACCAGGGAAUUUUUAUCAGGUCUGCGUCACGACACAGCGUCAUACGCAGGGCGAGAGGAAUAUAUCAGGAAGUCGUCCCAUUGGCAUUUCUGAUAGGUGGGGAAGCCGUGUAAGUCAUGUUGAUGUUGUCUCAAUGUAAGAGUACACGGAGCAGUCACACACACAAUACCUCCUGCACUUGGGAAAAUGGCCCCUCCAGAUGGAUAUGCUUAGCUCUUCAUUACUUUUGAAAAUGGGUAACCAUGCUGUGCGGUGUAUACAAGCUGAUUAUGCCUUUUGCCUUGCAGGUUUGAAAAAAAAAAAGUUUAUGCGGUUUACAACCGCUUUAAAUCAAUGUGAUUGGUUGCUAAUCAAUUUUUCCCUACAAACAGUGGAAAUCUGGAUGAUUAUCCUGUGCUCUAAUGCACAGCGAUGAGACCCAUUAUCAACCUUAAAAAUUAUUAUUUUUCUGUAUAUUUGUUACAUAUAUAUAUAUUUAUUUA